UUGAUUUGGGAGGGAGUAUGUGCUUCCCACUUGAGAUUUCAACGCAUUCAAACAUACCUCAACUUCGACUAGAUAUAUGCAACUAGGUGAAGCUUUUCACGUAGUUAAGACUUUAUGAUUAGAACUCCAUGUUUCAGGUUCUGAUGUCAAAAAUAAUAUUCAUUGGCACGUUUCAUUGAUUGACAACCUUUAGCGGUGGCCUGUUUGGGAUAUGGUUUCUAUUGACAAUGUCCUCAUGAUUUCACAGGGUGGCCUGUUUUAAUGGGAAGUGAGGGCAGUUUUACAUUAUUGAGUGGGAUGGUUCAUAAUGUGUGUUUCAUUUAAUUUUAAUUGGAAAAUGAGAUCUGGCAAAUGGAUGGAAAUGAAUAUUUGAAAGAAAUAUUUUCUUGCAUACUUUGUUAGAGUAUGCUUGCUUGCAUACUUUGCUCUCAUCUUUCCAAAAAGAAGAAGCAUACUUUGUUAGUCUCUUUUUUUUUUUUUGUUUCCCUUAUAUCAGCAUGUCUUUUGUUUCUUGUGGAGUAAGGUAUUGGAAAUAUACAUACAAAAUGUAUUUUCUUUUCUAAGAUUUUUCGACAAAGAAUAUUUAUUCUAAUGAAAUAAAGAAUGUUGUUGUAUUCAGGAGACUGCAAGAUUCAAUAAAUUACUAAGCUCUUAGUGAUUUUCAAUUACGAGCAAUCAAAAAAGUUUGGAGCUGUACUUUUCACAAUUAUUUUCAAACACUAAAUAAGUUUCUUCAUUGCAUUCAAUUCCCUAAACGUUCAUAUGUUUUGGUACACCCAUCUGUUUAGGAAUCAGAACUCUGUCCAGACACCAUCUAUUUAGGAAACAAACAGAUUGUUCGAAGUUUCAUUCUUGCUCCAGUUACUAUCUUGUACCCUAUAAAGGCAUUCAGUUCUCCUCCUGUUUUUGUAACUCCUGUAAUUUUUAAAUCCACCCGAGUAAUUGCGACAGCCAGUCCCCAGCAUGGUAAAGGAGGUCGAUGUCAGGUGGGUUGCCGAUUUUGAACUUCCUCAGGUAAUCGUGAGAAUUCCUGUUUAAACAAGAACUUGUAAAGCUGGCUCAGAUAGCUGGAACAAGGCUAUGAUUAAUAUUUUCUUUCAAUUUUAUCGGCAUUCAGGCUUCUCUAUUUUUUCUUAUUUUUAUUUCUCCACUUGCUAGAAAAUGGGAGGAGAGGCGAUUGCACAUAUGGUUGCCGGUUCUUCUCAUCAUUCUUCAGUUGAAACUGAAUGUUUGAAUUCAUUCAGGGCAUCAGAAAAAUCUGUGCAGGCCCAGAAAUGUGCCGAACCCCACUUAAAAACAGUUAAAAUUGUUUUUGAACAAUUGGUGUAAUCACAAAUGUUAGACACCUCUCUGUUGCAGUUCUUAGUUUAUUCUAAUAAUGCGGUAAUGUUUGCAUGCUACCAUCUAUAGUUAUCUGAGGCAUGGAAAUGAUGUAUUGGACAGUUUAAAAUAUCCAAAGGUCCUAUUUCAGCCAACAAGUAUCCACCAAUCAAAGGUUAGGAUUACUUAACUGAAUUGAUUUUGGGAUUGUACUUAGCUACAGUGUUUUCUACAGUUCAGUUGGUUUACUUUGAGUAUUACGACAUAGUGCCUGCGUAUCAUGCAUCACAGACUGAAUUGAAAAACUUCCCUGACAUAGUGCCCACGUACCAUGCGUCACAGACAAUCAUAGUAUUAAAACUUCCCUUUGGGGAGUUGGAAAAGUUGUCGUGGUUGGGGGGUGAGGAAUGAUAGGUGCUGGACUUUAUAUCAUAAAUAUGGUAGUGGAAUGUGUCCUCUACUGUAUACCAUUCUAAAAUGAAUUGCAAUAAUCUUGUUUCAAGUAAAGAAGUUAUGAGAAUUAUGUGUUAGCUUUGGGUUUGGGAAUUUGACGUGUUAACAUAAGAACAAUAGUUUUCUAUAUUUCAAAUCUUUCGUUCUUGGUAUGCCAUUACUUUAUUUUGAAUUCUUGUAUGACUUGAUGUUGAAGUUCCAUUUGCUCCAUGCAAUUAUAUUUCUGGUGCAAUUGGAGAUCUGAAAUGCCUACUCUCCAUGUACAUUCUAUGUCUCAAUUUUGUUUCUAAAAUUUAUAUAUAAAGUCAUUGUUUUCUCUAAUGUCAGCAGAUGGGUGAUUUUGUUGUCACUUACGGAUUCUUUGGUGUUUAUUUUUGUUAACAUUUUAUGAGUGGGUUUGUGGGUGUUGUCCUCAGGAUUGGUCUUUCAACGACAUUGAUGGGGAUAUACCAUUUUCAAUUUCAAAGUUGAAAAAGUUGGAAUUCAUGUAAGUCGCGUUCUUCUAGUGUGUUUUACUUGCAUGGGAAACCAUUGUUUCUGUAGAAAUUUUCAUUUUGAUUUACGUUUGUUACCAUCCUACAAAUAUCCAUUCUUUUCCAUAUUCUGUUUGCUAUCCACUUGAAAUGUUUGUCAAAAUAAUAAUAUUUUAAGUUGCUUGAAGCAUCUUAAUGUAUUGAAGAAAAUCUUGAUGGGUGAUGGUUUGGAAUUAUGGGACCAUCUUAAAGCUAAUGCAAGUUUGGCAUUAUAUUAAUGCCUUUCUAAAAAGAUUCCACAUGAUUCUAGUUUUGGUAGUUUCAUGUUCUAGCUAUUACAAUUUUUUAAAUUUAAACUAUACAGGUAUCUCUGCCGUUACAAUGAAAAUGGCUCAUUUGUCUUUAUAUUUUGGCAGGUUUUCAGGUGAGAUGGACGAGUUUCAAAACAAAACAGUCUGUGGUUUUGAGAAGCGAUUCUCAGGAUGUAUGUGUGUUUCAGGGGCCAUCUACACCUUGGAAGCAUACAAUGGAAGGAUGAUUGAAUAUACGAAGCUGUUGCAGGAAGUGACUUUGUCAUUACUAGAGUUGCAUUUCGAGACAACUCUUCAAAGUACUACAUAAAUGACCGUGGAAGUAAUUUUAUAGAGGUCACUAAGAAAUUGAAAGGAAAAUGAGUGGACUUGGACAACAAUCGGUUUUUUAUUCUUUAGGUGGGUGAUGGCUGAAAAAGGCCUAUUUACUUCUGAACAAAAUAUCAUACCGUCAAAAUAUAUCUUCUCUUUCAAUUCUUUAUCAUUGAAAUUUCAGGGUGAAGUCGAGCAAAUUUCUCUAAUGAAGCCAAAGAUUUAUAUUUUCAGCAUUAUUAUAAUUGUAAUUAUAAUUAAUUGAAUGAAGGAUUGUAAUUGAUUGUAAUUAUAAUUGUUAUUGAUUGAAUGAAGGAUUGUAAUUGAUUGUAAUUGUAAUUGUAAUUGAUUGAAUGAAGGAUUGUAAUUGAAUGGAUGAAUGAUUGUAAUUGAUUGUAA